CUCAGUGUAUGUGUAUGGCAGGCUGCAAAGCUGGGUGAUACGGUUUGGCUGUGUCCCCACCCAAAAUCCCCAUAAUCCCCAGGCAUCAAGGGAGAGACCAGGUGGAGGUAAUUGAAUCAUGGGGACCAGUUUCCCCCAUGCUGUUCUCGUGAUACUGAGUGAAUUCUCAUUGCAGCUGAUGGUUUUUUGUUUGGUAGUUCCUCCUGCAUUCAUUUCUCUUCCUGCUGCCUUGUGAAGAAGGUGCCUUGCUUCCCCUUCACCUUCUACGGUGAUUGCAAGUUGCCUGAGGAUUCCCCAGCCAUGUGAAACUUUCACAGAGUUUGAGAGAAACUGUAUUCAAGUUGCUGAAACCAAGAAGCUACACUCACGAGUCUCACCUAAACUCGAAUCUGAUUUAGAUGACAUCAUCCUGGACUUUGAGUUGAUGAAACCUUGGAGGUCUUGGGAGUAAAGCAAGUGUGAUUUGCAUAUGAUGGAUAUGAAUUGUAAUGGCCAGAGCAUGGCUGUGGUAGGUAACAUCUAGAGAUGGCCACCAUUAUUUUUUUUUUCCUCUAUCCGCACAUACUACUUCUCCUGUACUCUUGAAACUGGGAUGAAAUUAGCAACUUUGUUAACCAAUAUAAUGUGCCACAGAAGUGACUUUUGCGACUUGUGAGGUUAGAUCUUAAGAAGUCUUGUAUCUUCUUUCUGGAUCACUUGGAAUGCUUACUACGGGAACCAAGCCACUGUUCUAUGAGAAGUGCAAGUCACAUGGAGAAACCAUGUUUUGGCAAGCUAGUCUGCAUCUUCAGAGAUGAAAACUCCCAUUUUAGGGAACCAAGACUGAAUUCCAUAAUUUACAUGGAUGUUUGGAAGGUGUCUGCAACUUAAUCUGUGUUCGUUUCUGAGAUGUUGGGCAACUCCUUCUUGGAAGAUGUGGUAAUGGUCUCUUCGAAAAGAAAAUAAUCAUCUGAGUUUUGGCCAAAAUAGUUGAUCGGAUUACCUAUGAAAAUGACUCUCACCCAACUACAAGAAUGUUA
rnacentral:lncRNA from 1 species